CCAACUCCAACAUCUGAACUGACACCAACAUCAGCUCCAACACCAACAUCAGCUCCAACUUCAGUGCCAACACAAACAUCAGUACCUACACCUACAUCGGUUCCAACCCCAACAUCUGAACUCACACCAACACCAACCUCUGAACUUACACCAACAUCAUCUCCAACACCGACAUCAAUUCCAACACCAACAUCUAUUCCUCCUGGAACAUAUACCACAACAACAACUACAACUCCUGAACCUCCACCAACAUCUUUACCUACACCAACCUCUAUUCCAACUCCAACAUCAGUACCAACACCAACAUC